rnacentral:rRNA from 1 species
GGCGGCGCGCUUAACACAUGCAAGUCGUACGCUCCUGUUCCCUUCGGGGGGCGGGGGAGUGGCGGACGGGUGCGUAACACGUGAGCGACCUGCCCGGGUGCGGGGGACAACCGGCCGAAAGGCCGGCUAAUACCGCAUGCGCUCCCUCCUGUUGGGGGGGGAGGAAAGGCCCUGAUGAGGGGCCGCGCCCGGAGGGGCUCGCGGGCUAUCAGCUAGUUGGUGCGGGUAACGGCCCACCAAGGCAGCGACGGCUAGGGGGUCUGAGAGGAUGGCCCCCCACAUUGGGACUGAGAUACGGCCCAGACUCCUACGGGAGGCAGCAGUGGGGAAUCUUGCGCAAUGGCCGCAAGGCUGACGCAGCGACGCCGCGUGCGGGAGGACGCCCUUCGGGGUGUAAACCGCUGUCGCCCGGGACGAAUCUCCAGGGGAGGCAAUGCCCCUGGGCUGACGGUACCGGGAGAGGAAGCACCGGCUAACUCCGUGCCAGCAGCCGCGGUAAUACGGAGGGUGCGAGCGUUGUUCGGAAUCAUUGGGCGUAAAGCGCGCGCGGGCGGCCCGCUAAGUCCGGCUGUGAAAGACCGGGGCUCAACCCCGGGGCGGCAGGGGAGACUGGCGGGCUGGGGACACGCAGGGGCAGGCGGAAUUCCGGGUGUAGCGGUGGAAUGCGUAGAGAUCCGGAAGAACACCGGCGGCGAAGGCGGCCUGCUGGGCGUGGUCCGACGCUGAGGCGCGAAAGCGUGGGGAGCGAACAGGAUUAGAUACCCUGGUAGUCCACGCCGUAAACGAUGGGCACUGGGUGCCGGGGGGACCGACCCCUUCGGUGCCGUAGCUAACGCGAUAAGUGCCCCGCCUGGGGAGUACGGCCGCAAGGCUGAAACUCAAAUGAAUUGACGGGG